rnacentral:rRNA from 1 species
ACUCCUACGGGAGGCAGCAGUGAGGAAUAUUGGUCAAUGGAGGGAACUCUGAACCAGCCAUCCCGCGUGUAGGAAGACGGCCUUAUGGGUUGUAAACUACUUUUAUACAGAAGAAACGUACCCUCGUGAGGGUGCCUGACGGUACUGUAGGAAUAAGCACCGGCUAACUCCGUGCCAGCAGCCGCGGUAAUACGGAGGGGUGCGAGCGUUAUCCGGAUUUAUUGGGGUUUAAAGGGUCCGUAGGCGGAUUAAUAAGUCAGUGGUGAAAUCCCAUCGCUUAACGAUGGAACUGCCAUUGAUACUGUUAGUCUUGAAUGAGGGUGCAGUGGUUGGAAUGUGUAGUGUAGCGGUGAAAUGCAUAGAUAUUACACAGAACACCGAUUGCGAAGGCAGAUCACUAACCCUAAAUUGACGCUGAGGGACGAAAGCGUGGGGAGCGAACAGGAUUAGAUACCCUGGUAGCGACUG